AGAGUUUGAUCCUGGCUCAGGACGAACGCUGGCGGCGUGCCUAAUACAUGCAAGUCGAGCGGACAGAUGGGAGCUUGCUCCCGGAUGUUAGCGGCGGACGGGUGAGUAACACGUGGGUAACCUGCCUGUAAGACUGGGAUAACUCCGGGAAACCGGGGCUAAUACCGGAUGGUUGUUUGAACCGCAUGGUUCAAACAUAAAAGGUGGCUUCGGCUACCACUUACAGAUGGACCCGCGGCGCAUUAGCUAGUUGGUGAGGUAACGGCUCACCAAGGCGACGAUGCGUAGCCGACCUGAGAGGGUGAUCGGCCACACUGGGACUGAGACACGGCCCAGACUCCUACGGGAGGCAGCAGUAGGGAAUCUUCCGCAAUGGACGAAAGUCUGACGGAGCAACGCCGCGUGAGUGAUGAAGGUUUUCGGAUCGUAAAGCUCUGUUGUUAGGGAAGAACAAGUACCGUUCGAAUAGGGCGGUACCUUGACGGUACCUAACCAGAAAGCCACGGCUAACUACGUGCCAGCAGCCGCGGUAAUACGUAGGUGGCAAGCGUUGUCCGGAAUUAUUGGGCGUAAAGGGCUCGCAGGCGGUUUCUUAAGUCUGAUGUGAAAGCCCCCGGCUCAACCGGGGAGGGUCAUUGGAAACUGGGGAACUUGAGUGCAGAAGAGGAGAGUGGAAUUCCACGUGUAGCGGUGAAAUGCGUAGAGAUGUGGAGGAACACCAGUGGCGAAGGCGACUCUCUGGUCUGUAACUGACGCUGAGGAGCGAAAGCGUGGGGAGCGAACAGGAUUAGAUACCCUGGUAGUCCACGCCGUAAACGAUGAGUGCUAAGUGGUUAGGGGGGUUCCCGCCCCUUAGUGCUGCAGCUAACGCAUUAAGCACUCCGCCUGGGGGAGUACGGUCGCAAGACUGAAACUCAAAGGAAUUGACGGGGGCCCGCACAAGCGGGGGGAGCUUGGGGUU
rnacentral:rRNA from 1 species